AAAACUCUUGUAAAAUCGAUAUGUAAUUGAUUAACACAGAUUGCUGGAGGAAACGGAAGAUGAGCUUGCUGAGGUAAUAAAGAAUGGAUCGUUAAAAGUAGGAGAUGCGCGCAAGGUUCUGUGUCAAACUUUAAGUAAUCACUGCAGCAAAUCAAGAUUCAGAAGAUGAGGACGCCGAUGACGAUGCAGAUGAAUUAUAGCUCAUUCCGGGGAAAUGUCAUCACUUUUUUUACCAACAAGGUCCGACUACAAAGACAUUUUUUUACGACUCAUUUGUAGCUUAUACACCUUUUUCAGCCUUUAUGUUCCAUCGAUGAUCCGUUCUAGAAAACUUAUUCAGACUGUGACAGCGUUCUGUUUUAGAGAUUUUUUUCUCAAAGACAUUUAAAUUAGCUUCACAGAACAAUGAUACUAGUCUAAAUUAAAUACUAAAUACAAUUAAAACUAGAUUGUUUGUUACUCA